CAGAUCGCAUGAUCAGCUUUUAAAAAGCGGCGUAAGCUGUCGCUAUGGGAUGGCCCCGCGGUGCAUUAGCUAGUUGGUAAGGUAAAGGCUUACCAAGGCGAUGAUGCAUAGCCGAGUUGAGAGACUGAUCGGCCACAUUGGGACUGAGACACGGCCCAAACUCCUACGGGAGGCAGCAGUAGGGAAUCUUCCACAAUGGACGCAAGUCUGAUGGAGCAACGCCGCGUGAGUGAGAAGGUUUUCGGAUCGUAAAGCUCUGUUGUUGGUGAAGAAGGAUAGAGGUAGUAACUGGCCUUUAUUUGACGGUAAUCAACCAGAAAGUCACGGGCUAACUACGUGCCAGCAGCCGCGGUAAAU
rnacentral:rRNA from 1 species